UACGAAGGGGGCUAGCGUUGCUCGGAAUCACUGGGCGUAAAGCGCACGUAGGCGGACUCUUAAGUCAGGGGUGAAAUCCUGGAGCUCAACUCCAGAACUGCCUUUGAUACUGGGAGUCUCGAGUUCGGGAGAGGUGAGUGGAACUGCGAGUGUAGAGGUGAAAUUCGUAGAUAUUCGCAAGAACACCAGUGGCGAAGGCGGCUCACUGGCCCGAUACUGACGCUGAGGUGCGAAAGCGUGGGGAGCAAACAG
rnacentral:rRNA from 1 species